rnacentral:lncRNA from 1 species
GUGUUCCCUGCGUCAACAAUUUAUUCAUUCCACAAACAUUUCUAAGUGUCCAUGGUGACCCAGACAUCAUGGGAACUUCAGGGUUCCAGAGCUGAGUAGAACACAACUCCCAUCCUUAGGGAUUCACCAUCCAGUAGAGGAGAAAGACGUCGAGACAGAAGACAGAAGGGAAAGGAAAAGCUCAAUGCUGUGCCUUCAACUUAGCUUCUCCAUUUUUUGGAGAAGGGUUAAUAGGGGAAGCAGAGAGAGAGAGAUGAGAGACCAAAGUUUCUAGGGCCUUUAUCUCCAGAGCAGAGGGUCUGAAACCUUAGUGAGCAAAAACUGAUCCGGAAGACUUGUUGGAGGCAUACCUUCCAGUUCAGCGAGCCAUUUCAGCAGAUUGGAGAUCCCCUGCCUGCAGCACGUGCUGAUCUCCAAGGCUCCAUUUGGCUGCGUCCCUACCCUGCAUAACCCUCCCAGCUAGUCUACUCCAGGGCAGCAUCCAGCUGGUGACCUGAGAGGGCAGUGGCGCACCAGUCUCCAUGAAGGUUGAGCUCCGAUGGCCAACAGCCAUUUCCACCUUGUGGUCUACAACUCUUCAUCCCGACUGCAUGGAGGUUGGUCUCUCUCUUCAGCUGGAUUUAGGCCACCAUCUGAGCCCCCGGGGUACGUUUUGUCUGACCCUGGCGCCAUUCGAACGGUUCUUCUACAGCAUCAGUUCUCUUUCCUGCCACCAUGUGAAGAAGGACAUGUUUGCUUCCCCUUCUGCCAUGAAUGGACAGGGUCCUGCUGUGUUGCCCAGGCUGGCCUUGAACUCCUGGCUUCAAACAGUCUUCCCACUUGGGCUCCCAAAGUGCUGGGAUUAAAGGGGCGAGUUACAGCACCAGGACCUGAAAUGAAAAACAUGGCCAGCAAAGCAGGUGAGGCAAAGAUCAGGAAGGACAUUAAACGCCAAACUAAGGAGCGGAACUGAAUGAGCAGUGAAGGGGAACAAUGGCUUCAGCAGGUCCACUGGGCUCCUCUUUUCUGUCAGCCUCCCCCUACCCCUCACCUCUGUACUACUCAUGUUACUAUCUACGUCUCUUCACCAAUGUCAUUGUGGAAAUAAAAGCUUAUCUGUAAGAGUACUGAUGAAGUAUUAACUCACCCCCUUUAAGUUCCACCCUCCAUAAAGCUAAAAGUCAGCAAACCAAUUUAAGUGAUCUAUUUUAGAAUUUCAGCAAACUUUGAAAAUCUGAGGCAGUGCUGCCUAGCAACGAGAGUGAGGAUGUAGAGGUGGUCUCAGCUGAGAUUCGAGAUGUGCUGUGGAUUCACUGCUUCCCUUGAUUUUCCUGAUCUGAGCCUUGGUUUCCUCAUCUGGGCAAUGGGGCUUCCAUAUUCUCUAAGGACAUCGAAUCCCCUAUGGGGUGGCUUCUGUAUCUGAGGACAGAGGAGAACAGGAGUCCCAGGGAGGGUGCUAAGUGCCCCGGA